GUUGGGUUUUGGAAUUAGUGACAGAGUUUUGGGAGUUUUGUGGGUGUUUGCAGAUGAAAUGCUGCACAGACAGGACAAUUCGGAGGUAGAAGAAAGACAGAGGGGUAUGAGUGGACCUAAAGAUUUUCGAACAUUUUCGGAGACGGCCCUGACCGCGGGCACGGAACCACCCCAAUACAGAGGUACAAACAGUACAACAUGAAAGGGGUGCACAACCAAUCAACACUCGCCAGGCUCUACGCUAGUCGCCGACACGAUACGCGAUCGUGCAGGGAACAAGUAUUACAACCGACAAUGGCGUGUGGCAAAUCAACGUGCACCAUGUCACCUCCUCUCAACCUCCACUAACAGUUGAUGGCAAUCGAGACAAGAACUAUAUCAUGAAAGUGACGUGUGGCCAAUCACGACGCACGAUCGUACUCCCACCUCUAGGGACACUAAUUAUCACGACAUAGGGGACCAAAUGGAUGUUCCUGUUCCUUGAUAGCGACGUCUGGCCGAAUCAACCCAUCUCCUUCUCCAACCAUUCGACUAUAAAUGCCAACCUCCGCCAAAGAUCGAUUAUGAAGAUAACACUUCGUGUUGAUUAAAGAGAAUCAGAAGAGUUAACACCAGUUGAAACACCUUUAU
rnacentral:lncRNA from 1 species